CACCUUGCUCCCAGCCAGCGGGGGCACGCAUGGCUCCAAGCCUCUCCCAGCCCUCCUUUUGAGCCCAGGAGUCCAGCCAGCUCUGCGCUUCUCCCAUGCAUCUGAUGGAUUCCAACCUGAUGAUCCGUGGCAGAGUGACCUCUAGACUUUAUACAAGUUGUAACCUCCUUCUCUUUGCCCCCUUGACUCUCUGAGGGGCAGGGAAACUGAGUCCUGGCAAGGUGGAGGGCAGCUGAAGAAAAGGACCAGAUGUCUAGCAUCCCAGCUGUUAGGCAGCCUCAGAUGUCCUAGGACAAAGGCCUCUUUCUUGGACAGGCAAGGCACCCCAGCCACAUGGCAGCCACAUACACUGGACAGACCAGGACACGUGUGUAGGAUAUCAG